rnacentral:rRNA from 1 species
GUCCUCUUGAAUUUAAUUUGAGGUUUAACCUGCCCACUGAAAUUUUUUAACGGCCGCAGUAAUUUGACUGUGCAAAGGUAGCAUAAUCAUUAGUUUUUUAAUUAAAAGCUUGUAUGAAGGGUUGGACGAGGUAAAAUCUGUCUCUAUUUAAUUUAAUAUAGAAUUUAAUUUUUAAGUUAAAAAGCUUAAAUUUUAAUAAAAGACGAGAAGACCCUAUAGAUCUUUAUAUUAUUUAUAUUAAUUUUAAUUAAGAAUUAUUUAUUAAUUAAUAUAAAUAAUAUUUUAUUGGGGUAAUAAAAAGAUUAAAAAAAUUCUUUUAUAAAUUAUACAUUGAUUAAUGAAUAAAUGAUCCAAUUAUUUUGAUUAUAAGAUUAAGUUACCUUAGGGAUAACAGCGUAAUUUUUUUAGAGAGUUCUUAUCGAUAAAAAAGUUUGCGACCUCGAUGUUGGAUUAAAAAUUAUCUUAGGUGCAGAAGUUUAAGAUUUUGGUCUGUUCGACCAUUAAAUUUUU